GGGUGGAUAGCUCAAUGGUAGAGCGCUACACUUCGUUGAUUAGUUCGCGGGUUCGAUUCCCCCCCCUCA